rnacentral:tRNA from 1 species
GCUUACGUGGUGCAGUGGUCAGCACGCUCGGCCCCUAUUCGAGAAGUCCGUGGUUCGAGUCCCGGCGAGGGCA